AUUGAACGCUGGCGGAAUGCUUUACACAUGCAAGUCGAACGGCAGCACGGGGCAACCUGGUGGCGAGUGGCGAACGGGUGAGUAAAGCAUCGGAACGUGCCCAGUAGUGGGGGAUAGCCCGGCGAAAGCCGGAUUAAUACCGCAUACGACCUACGGGUGAAAGGGGGGGAUCGCAAGACCUCUCGCUAUUGGAGCGGCCGAUGUCAGAUUAGGUAGUUGGUGGGGUAAAGGCCUACCAAGCCGACGAUCUGUAGCUGGUCUGAGAGGACGACCAGCCACACUGGGACUGAGACACGGCCCAGACUCCUACGGGAGGCAGCAGUGGGGAAUUUUGGACAAUGGGCGCAAGCCUGAUCCAGCCAUGCCGCGUGCGGGAAGAAGGCCUUCGGGUUGUAAACCGCUUUUGUCAGGGAAGAAAUCUUCUGGGCUAAUACCUCGGGAGGAUGACGGUACCUGAAGAAUAAGCACCGGCUAACUACGUG
rnacentral:rRNA from 1 species